rnacentral:lncRNA from 1 species
AUCUACAACCUAAACAAAGUCCAAAAAUCAAGAGAAACAUGUAAAAUUGUACACAAGACAAAACAAAAACAACCUGGAAAACAAAAACUAACAAAGAAAAUAGAAAUCUCGCCCAAUAGUCCAGACUUAAACUACAUAGUGUCCUCAGAGUGUCACAAGCAUAAGAUCAGAAAUCAGAACAGUCAACAGAUCAUGGACAAGUGCAAUACAAGUGGGGAAAGGAGGAGAAGGGAGAAAAAACUAUACACAAACACAACCUUAAAACAAAACAAAAACAACCUACAACUAGAAAAAUCUAAACAAAGAAAAACCUAAACCAACACUACUACAAAAAAGUGCAUAGAUAGCGCUUUUUUUUUUUUUAUCAUAGAUAGUGCUUAAAAAGCGCUAUCUAUGCGUGCGCUAUCUAUUAAUAGAUAGCGCUUCUAAAAAAAGCGCCAUCUAUUGUCAGCACCAAUAGAUGGCGCUUUUUUAAAGAAGUGUUAUCUAUUGUCAGCACCAAUA